ACGGUGGGUCCCAUAAGAUUAUAAUGGAGUUGAAAAAUGUUCAUGUCCAGUCAUGUUGUAGCUGUAGUAACAUUAUAGCACUAUUACUUUAUUUUUAAAAAUUAACUUAGUGUAGCCUAAAUGUACAGUUUUCAUAAAAUCAACAGCCGUGUACAGUAAUAUCCUAGGCUUUCCCAUUCACGUACCACUCACUGACUCAGCCAGAGCAGUUUUCAGUUCUGCAAGACUCCAUUCAUGAUGAAGAGAGGAAGCAUGAUUAAAGGCAUGUAAAAUGGAGCAUGUGUGGAGAGCAUUCGUGACAGCCCUUAUAGGCUUGAACUCUGUGAUGACCAGAGCUACACAUGAUAAUCUUUAGUGGAUCUGCAUCAUGAUUUUAUACAAAGGUAAGGAAGUGGUUUUUUUCUUUUGAUUUCAUUUCCAAAUUGAACAUAAUCAACAUUGUUAUUAUUUUUUUUGCUUGUAGGGAUACACUGGCCAGGUAUCUCUGAGAACAUCAUGUCCUGGUGCCUAGGUCUUUUUCCUGACAUUACAGAGUUCAAUACGCUUUAUGUACAGUUGGGAUUUUCAUUCCCAACUUUUAAGCAUAUUGUUACGGAAGUUUAACUGCUAGUUUUCGCUGAUUUAUGUAAUUUCCUAAAAUCCAUUUGCAGUUAUUCCCUGCUACAUACUGAGGAAAAGGAAGAAGGAGGAAUAGAUAAAUCUAGCGUCUCUCUUGAAAACCACAGUUUAUGCAAUG
rnacentral:lncRNA from 1 species